GACAUAGGUGGCGAACGUUAUCCGGAAUUAUUGGGCGUAAAGGGCUCGUAGGCGGUUUGUCGCGUCGGGAGUGAAAACACCGGGCUUAACUCGGUGCUUGCUUUCGAUACGGGCAGACUAGAGGCAUGCAGGGGAGAAUGGAAUUCCUGGUGUAGCGGUGAAAUGCGCAGAUAUCGGGAAGAACACCCGUGGCGAAGGCGGCUCUCUGGGACGGUACUGACGCUGAGACGCGAAAGCGUGGGGAGCGAACAGG
rnacentral:rRNA from 1 species